rnacentral:rRNA from 1 species
UGGGGAAUAUUGCACAAUGGGCGCAAGCCUGAUGCAGCCAUGCCGCGUGUAUGAAGAAGGCCUUCGGGUUGUAAAGUACUUUCAGUAGGGAGGAAGGUGUGCGUGUGAAUAGCACGUGCAAUUGACGUUACCUACAGAAGAAGCACCGGCUAACUCCGUGCCAGCAGCCGCGGUAAUACGGAGGGUGCAAGCGUUAAUCGGAAUUACUGGGCGUAAAGCGCACGCAGGCGGUUUGUUAAGUUGGAUGUGAAAUCCCCGGGCUUAACCUGGGAACUGCAUCCAAGACUGGCAAGCUAGAGUCUCGUAGAGGGAGGUAGAAUUCCAGGUGUAGCGGUGAAAUGCGUAGAGAUCUGGAGGAAUACCGGUGGCGAAGGCGGCCUCCUGGACGAAGACUGACGCUCAGGUGCGAAAGCGUGGGGAGCAAACA